rnacentral:lncRNA from 1 species
GGAAAAUGAAAAACAAUGUUGAUCUAAAAGAGUAUUUAUUGAGUCUACUUUUCUACAACAGGGACGACAACAACGACAAUGAGCACAACCACACUGAUGACGACAACAACAACAAUGAACACAACCACACCGAUGACGACAACAACAACAAUGAACACAACAACACCGAUGACAACAACCACACCAAUGACAACAACAACAACAAUGAACACAACCACACCGAUGACGACAACAACAACAAUGAACACAACCACACCGAUGACGACAACAACAACAAUGAACACAACCACACCGAUGACGACAACAACAACAAUGAACACAACCACACCGAUGACGACAACAACAACAAUGAACACAACCACACCAAUGACGACAACAACAACAAUGAACACAACACCGGUGACAACAACUACACUGAUGACGACAACUACAACAACAACAACAACGCCAAUUACAGAACCGCCCAUAUUAGAAGAGAGGAACCUUUCGUUUAGCAUGGACAUAGAUUUCCAAGAGUCAUACAAUAACCCAGAGAGUAGUGUUUACAAAGACACUAUUGAUGCUAUUCAGAAUCAAUCGAAGGUGCACAUCUCGGUUCCAACCACGGCAAGUUUAAUCGGGUUCAGGAGUGGAAGUACGAUCGCUGACUAUUCAAUAAGUGCAACCUCUUUAGAAGACACGGAAAUCGUUGCAUUACAAACAGGGGUACUUACACAGAUGGGAGCAAUAUAUCGCAUACUAUUUGACAGUAAGACAGUUUUACACAUAUUUGAAUUAAUUUUUGGAGAAACAGCUUUUUUUUACGUGAGAUAUGUGAUCGUUUAG